GGGGAUAUAGCUCAGUGGCAGAGUACUUUCUUAGCAUGAGGAGGCACUGGGUUCUAUCCCCAGUUCUACA
rnacentral:tRNA from 1 species